rnacentral:lncRNA from 1 species
UUUUGCGACUUUCACUUUUGCUGGAAAAUAAAAUUGUAUUAAAGGAUUUUAACUCACAGGUAAAAGGAGCUGUAUCACUGCUUAGCUUUGGUUUUCCAGAAACACACUGGAGACUGUGAAGCACAAAAGAAGCAGCAGCCACUGGGGUGUAGGUUUUCUAAUCAUCAUAUUAAAAGGAAUGGAAAUGAACAUCGGAGUAAGUGAACUGCAAAAUACCCAAUUAUAUCACAGACUAAAUCUAAGUCAUAUCUCUGAUAAUCAGCUUAAUUUCAGUCCAUGAGAUUGAAAAAGUUCUGAGUCCAGGGCUGUUUUAGAUGCAGGGCUUUGGAGUGGCCCCUGCCCCUGCAAAAACAUCCAGUCCCCCUCCUCACCCCCUCGUGUAAGGGCCCAGACCCAUACGGGGGUCCCCUCAACACCCCUGCUCCCUCAGGUCCUGUAUGUACGAGGGGAGGCGGGGGGUCACUCUGACCCGCAAACUGACCUCCUCAAACUUCAAACUGAAUGCUUCUGGCAGUUACCACGACGACAGAGCUCUCCAAGCCUUAUCCUACUUACUGAGACGAGACGAGGAGGAGGAGGAGGAGAGGAGGAGUGAGAAAGGAAAGAAAGAGGAGAGGGUCUAAACGUGACGGCUUCUUCUGCUAAGCUAUUUAACGGAGGGUCCCAGCAUCACUGUAAUCCGCUGUGCUGUGUCCUGUGGGGUCACAGUGGGAGGCGCGAUGUUCACGCUGGAGCAGCAGCUGUGAACGUGAAGCGAGGCUGCAGCCCAGCGCUCCUCGAACCCUCCCUCAGGCCGAUGGCUCCGUCGCUCGCUAAAUCGGUAAAUGAUCCUGGCUGUCAUUUAAUCAAUAUGAACAGGCAGCAGCUGUCGCGCAUCAUCUCCUCCCUCGGGGCUCGUUGUCAAGACGCAGCGGAUGAAACGCCGUCGUGUUGGCAUUUUAUCAGGCCUUUAUUGUGACGACCAGGUUAAAUAAAAGAGAGGGAGGAUGAAUUAUGUUAAAUUAU